rnacentral:lncRNA from 10 species
AUCAGCGUUGCGGCUCGAGGCAAAGCUGGUCCUGUGCCUGCUGUCCAUUGCCGCUAAGGCCUGCUGCUGCCAUUCAGGCGUGUCUCUCUCUCUCUCUCUCUUUCAUGCCGCUCUCUCCACCCCAUCUUGGGACGGCCAGCUCUAAGAAUUCCUGCUACGACACUGAAUUCAACCAGGAGGUGAUGCCACACUCAAUCAGAAACUAUGCUACUGCUGAAGAGGUAUAUUGAGCCCUGCCUGGUUAACCUCCAGUGAGGUUAUUAGAGAAUUGGGAGAGGCUCAAAUCAGCAUCCUGCACCUAGUUAUCAAACCAUUGUGAAGUCUUGAUUCCUGGAUGGCCAGAAAACUUGUCAUUGGUCAAGAGCAACAUUAAGAUCUGCCUGUUACUCAUACUGAUGCUUCCUGCCCAGCAAGUUCAUCAGAGGGCGAGGAUGAAUUACGGUUGCCAUGAAUGUCCUUGUGAGGCAGUUGGGAAGCCUUGGCUGGAUUGUGAAGGAUAUUUGAAAAGUAUUUUAGAGUCCACCAGAUCAUCCAUGUGAGUGACCAUGCAGCAAAAGAAGGAGGGUCCUCUCAGUGAUUAAGGAUUAUGAAGUAUUAAUUCUUCCACUGAUAUCUCAAAAGGUGAUCUGGACAAAGGAACAGGUAUCUCAGAUUCCCAGUUCUCAAUCUUCCUUCCUCCUUACAAGAUACAAGCAACCUUCAACCUUCCCA